rnacentral:rRNA from 1 species
CGGUUGAUCCUGCCGGACCUGACUGCUAUCGGAUUGAUACUAAGCCAUGCGAGUCUUUGCAGUAAUGCAAGGCAUACGGCUCAGUAACACGUAGUCAACUUACCCUAUGGACGAGGAUAAUCUCGGGAAACUGAGCAUAAUACUCGAUAGAUCAUAAUGCCUGGAAUGGUUUAUGGUUAAAAUGAUUCGUCGCCAUAGGAUGGGACUGCGGCCUAUCAGCUUGUUGGUGAGGUAAUGGCCCACCAAGGCGAUUACAGGUACGGGCUCUGAGAGGAGAAGCCCGGAGAUGGGUACUGAGACAAGGACCCAGGCCCUAUGGGGCGCAGCAGGCGAGAAAACUUUGCAAUGUGCGAAAGCACGACAAGGUUAAUCCGAGUGAUUUCUGCUAAAGAAAUCUUUUGCAAGUCAUAAAACCACUAGUGAAUAAGGGGUGGGCAAGUUCUGGUGUCAGCCGCCGCGGUAAAACCAGCACCUCAAGUGGUCAGGAGGAUUAUUGGGCCUAAAGCAUCCGUAGCCGGCUCUGUAAGUUUUCGGUUAAAUCCAUGUGCUCAACGCAUGGGCUGCCGAAAAUACUGCAUAGCUAGGGAGUGGGAGAGGUAGACGGUACUCGGUAGGAAGGGGUAAAAUCCUUUGAUCUAUCGAUGACCACCUGUGGCGAAGGCGGUCUACCAGAACACGUUCGACGGUGAGGGAUGAAAGCUGGGGGAGCAAACCGGAUUAGAUACCCGGGUAGUCCCAGCUGUAAACGAUGCAGACUCGAUGAUGCAUUGGCAUAUAGCCAGUGCAGUGUCGCAGGGAAGCCGUUAAGUCUGCCGCCUGGGAAGUACGUACGCAAGUAUGAAACUUAAAGGAAUUGGCGGGGGAGCACCACAAGGGGUGAAGCCUGCGGUUCAAUUGGAUUCAACGCCGGG